UGGAGAGCGAGGAGACUGUCCACGUGUUUUAGAUGGGCUGGCAGAAGCCCACUUUGGCACAUCCCAAGGCCCUCACUGCUCCUUCCUCCCUGUUCCUCACCACUGAAGCUGCUUGGUGGGGGGUGCCCAGCAUUUGGGGUUGGGGGUGAGGACCUGGUGCAAGGCAAUAUUUUGUCUCUACAGACAAUAUUCUUGUGCAGUGCCAUGGGAGAAGGUUGCAAGAGAUGCUCAGCUGGUGAAUGCUCCUGAAGGACCACAUCUUGACCGACUUUGGUCUGAGCACCAGCACUGCACCACAGGAGGAGAAAGCUUAUGCUGUCGCUGCUGGAGACAUUCCAAAUCCAAGCACGAAAAUGUCAUGUACAGCACGCUGGGAAGGCCAAAUAAUGAGCAGUCUGCAGCAAGGAUCUACCUUUCAUUUUCUCCCCUUCCUCAGAGUGGCAAUGUCUGCUCAGCACAUCUUGGGAGCAAAAUGCAGCUGGGCUGGAGCAGAAAUAAACCGGAUAGCUGAAAUAGGAGAACUGCGUUGGACUGAAUACACC
rnacentral:lncRNA from 1 species